GCCCUGAUAGCUUAAAUUGGAUAAAGCAGAUCCGUCCUAAGGAUAAGAUUGGAGGUUCAAGUCCUCUUCAGGGUA
rnacentral:tRNA from 1 species